rnacentral:tRNA from 1 species
GGUGAGGUGGGAGAGUGGCUCAAUCCAGUAGUUUGCUAAACUGCCGUACGGGUCAAACUGUACCGAGGGUUCGAAUCCCUCCCUCACCG